rnacentral:rRNA from 1 species
AUUGAACGCUGGCGGAAUGCUUUACACAUGCAAGUCGAACGGUAGAGGGGGCAACCCCUUGAGAGUGGCGAACGGGUGAGUAAUAUAUCGGAACGUGCCCAGUCGUGGGGAUAACGUAGCGAAAGUUACGCUAAUACCGCAUACGAUCUAAGGAUGAAAGCGGGGGAUCGCAAGACCUCGCGCGAUUGGAGCGGCCGAUAUCAGAUUAGGUAGUUGGUGAGGUAAAGGCUCACCAAGCCAACGAUCUAGUAGCUGGUCUGAGAGGACGACCAGCCACACUGGAACUGAGACACGGUCCAGACUCCUACGGAGGCAGCAGUGGGGAAUUUUGGACAAUGGACGCAAGUCUGAUCCAG